rnacentral:misc_RNA from 1 species
GAUGAAGAACGCAGCGAAAUGCGAUAAGUAAUGUGAGUUGCAGAAUUCAGUGAAUCAUCGAAUCUUUGAACGCACAUUGCGCCCGCCAGUAUUCUGGCGGGCAUGCCUGUUCGAGCGUCAUUUCAACCAUCAAGCCCCAGGCUUGUGUUGGAGCCCUGCGGCUGCCGCAGCCUCCCAAAACCAGUGGCGGGCUCGCUAUCACACCGAGUGCAGUAGUUUACUCUUCGCUCAGGGCGUGUGGCGGGUGCUAGCCGUAAAACCCCCAACUUCUCAAGGUUGACCUCGGAUCAGGUAGGAAUACCCGCUGAACUUAAGCAUAUCAAUAAGCGGAGGA